rnacentral:lncRNA from 1 species
GACGUCGAAAUCCCGACCCUAAACUUUUUUAUUGGAUCAUGCUUGUAAGUGUUUCCACUUGGAGGAAAAAGUUUGUGGAAAAUUGAAAUUUGAGGCAAUAUUAGGGAAAUUUAUCUUUGGAUGUGGAAGCACUGACUAAACAAAAUGGCGUCCGCUUAUUCGGAAAAAUAAAAAAAAGUUUAAAAAAAAAAGUUAAAACCGACCUACCCUACCUAAGUUUUUAUAAGAAGAAACCGGAAACCCACAUAUUUUUUUUUGGCCCUACCGAUCUGCUGCUUCUUUCACCUCACUAGCGCCAGAUGAAAUGGCACCGUCUUUAAAACAUUUUAAAUUGGCUCUAGGGGUGAAAUUAUCAACAGGUUGUUGU